GUCCCUGUAGCGCAGUGUGUGCGCGUUGACUUCUAAUCCAAAGGUUCCGGUUCGAACCCGGCAGGGAUG